CCUACGGGAGGCAGCAGUGGGGAAUAUUGCACAAUGGGGGAAACCCUGAUCCAGCGACGCCGCGUGAGCGAUGAAGUAUUUCUGUAUGUAAAGCUCUAUUAGUAGGGAAGUAAAUGACGGUACCUGACUAAGAAGCCCCGGCUAACUACGUUCCAGCAGCGGCGGUAACACGGAGGGGGCAAGCGUUAUCCGGAUUUUCUGGGUGUAAAGGGGGCGUAGUCGGGGGUGCAAGCCAGUGGUGAGAGCCCGGGGCUCAACCCCGGGACUGCAUUUGAAACUGGGCGGCUAGAGUGUGGGUGAGGCAGGCGGAAUGCGUGGUGUAGCGGGGAAAUGCGGAGAUAUUAGGCAGAACCCCGGUGGCGAAGGCAGCC
rnacentral:rRNA from 1 species